rnacentral:RNase_P_RNA from 1 species
CCGCGCAAGCGGGAUCAGGUAAGGGUGAAAGGGUGCGGUAAGAGCGCACCGCGCGGCUGGUAACAGUCCGUGGCACGGUAAACUCCACCCGGAGCAAGGCCAAAUAGGGGUUCAUAAGGUACGGCCCGUACUGAACCCGGGUAGGCUGCUUGAGCCAGUGAGCGAUUGCUGGCCUAGAUGAAUGACUGUCCACGACAGAACCCGGCUUAUCGGUCAGUUUCACCU